CCCUCCAGUCCCAGGAGCAAUUCCUGGAAAGGCCUACCUUAGUGUUUCCUUUUUGCCUUUUUGACUCUUCCAAUAUAUGGGCUAAUCAUUCUUCCCCCCUCCCCCCAACCCUUGGUUAAUCAUUCCUUAUAUUACAUUUUAUCUGUGGAGUAAACGUCUCGUUGACAUUAUAACCAAAUUUGCUGAGUGGGGCUAAUUGUGGCUGCGGACUAAUAAACUCAGCGGCAGAUUUUCGCCCAGACUUUUCCUUGGCACUUACAUUUCCCUGACCUUCCUCUGUUAAAGGUGGAUUUGGAGCUCAUUCUCUUGUUUCAGUCCUUUUGCUGCCUCUUCCCUUGCUCCACGCUCCGUGACUCGGUGACUGGCUUUGUCGCGCACAGAACAACAUGAGCCUGGGCUUGGUUACAAAUUUGGCAAGUCAACCGGUUGGUUGUUCUUUGCCCGUGGCUCUUUGGGCCCCCAGCCAGUAACAGGAGUCUGGAGGGAAGUCUAAGCAGCUGCCUACACUCUUUGCCCUAGGGACUGUCCCCAGGGCCCCACCCCGAGUGGACACUGCUGGCCUUCAGCGCCUAAUUUAAUUCUUACUGCCAGGAGUCGGAGUGGGGGUUUGGUUUGCACAGCCUUCUCUUGAAGUCCUGCAAACCAAAGCUAGAGAACUUGAAGUAAACCUCCAGGAAAAUCACCACACUGGCCCAUGCUUGUCUGUUGCUUCAUGAGUCACUCAGAAAGAUCACCAGAACAAGUUUGUUCUAGCCAUCCUGAUUUGAUGGAUCUACCAUUGGAAAUUCCAGACUUUGAAAUGAUUAUGGAUGGGAGCAGUUUGAUGGAUCAAGGACAGCAAAGAGCUGGAUGCAAAGGUGACCCAUCAGCUAUUGUCCAAUGCUGAGGACCCUCCAAAUUGUUUGAUUCCUCAACGGAAUAAUCAACCAGACCUUUAUGAAGGGUCUUACAUAAGCUCGUAACCCUUAUGAAGACCACAAAACACUUUAUAAUGGCUUCGGUACUACAUCUAGACUUAGUUAAAUACUAGCCCCAAUAUUCCCUGAAGAGCCUCAGAAGAACUAAAGAAUGGGGAUUUGGAUACCCUACUGGCACUAAAACCAGCUGGAAAUAUAAUGAAUCCUUAUCCCGGAACAUCUUACACAAGAAACGGUUGGUUCACCAUAUUCACCAAAGCACCUAUUAUGGGUGAAAUAUAUUCUUCAGUGGAUCCAGAAGUAUUUGGUGGGGCCCAAUCAUCAGAUAACUAUUCAAAAGUACUCUUCCAAUAUUCCAUACGUGACAAGAACUUUGGAUGUAUCCACCUGCUGGAGCUGGCUCCCCAGUGUGUGCCGAUCUACUAGAACUCUCUGUGGCCUGCCAUCAAUAUGCCUGAGCAAUCUGGCUGUCAAGAAGCACAGAAUAAAAAUUUGGUUCACCUCCAGCUUAUGCACAAGACCUCAAGUAACGAAACGACUACCGGAGAAAACAGGAUACAUUCGACAUGUAUUAAGCGCCAACUAAGAGUGGAGAACUGUGCUAGAAGACCCGGUGGUUCAGCCAAGGUGAAAAGGACGCAGCUCCCACCUCGCAGGAGUUCAG